UGAAAUUCUAGCCAAGUUACAUAUAUAACUUGUCGCAAUCCGACACACGGAUUAAAAGUUACAAACGUUUUAAAAUAUACAUCUUUUUGAAAUCCCUAGUAGUAGAUAAAAUCGCCGAACUCGAAAAAAACUAAUAUUGGCUGAAACUAGUGGCGCAAUAUAGUUCUUCUGUGCCUCGGGCGCAAUAAAACAGAGGUGGGGCUGGAGCUCACCCAAGUGGCCAUGGGCCGGCUCGAUGGGGCUUGCGAGGCCUCCGCUGGCUGGAGCUGGGCCGACUUCGGCUAGGGCGCUGCUGGUCCGGGAUGCCAAGCUGGCCCAGGAGCAGGGCAAGCCCCACGCAAUAGAGGUCUGGAGAGAUGCUCGUUGACAGAGCGGUUCCUGCUCGUUGCAGAGGAAACAUGCGCAGUCAACGGCGACUCCAUGCGAGGGAGGUCCGACAGGGCACGACCAGCGAAUAUGGCGGGGAUGGGUCGGGGGCGUACAAAGCCGGUCGGGGGCGAGGUGAGGCGGAGCUUUCGGCAAGGACGACGGCUGCUCGAGUCCAUUUGGGCAGACAUGGAGUUCAUGGAUGCCAUGGUUGUUCCUGAACAACAGAGAAGAAAGGGAGAGCAGGGAGGUUAGAAAGACAGGAAUGAUGGAAAGCAAGGAGAGGGGCAGAUGCUCAAGGCUGUUGUGACCUGGUGGUGGCGCUCGCCGAUGCUACUCCGAUCCAACCUGGAUCGAGGCUAGAGAAGAGGGGAACGAGGCGCUCGGCCUUACGGGGAUGUUGGUCGCUGCAUCGAGGAGGCCUCCCAUUCGCCCGAUCUAACCACACACGGCCAGGAUUGCUGGAUCUAACUAACCCGCGUUGGCUGGUUGAAUGAAGUUGUGGCGGCGGAUCCAGACAGGGAGGAUCCUGAGGAGGGAGCUNAACUCGAAAAAAACUAAUAUUGGCUGAAACUAGUGGCGCAAUAUAGUUCUUCUGUGCCUCGGGCGCAAUAAAACAGAGGUGGGGCUGGAGCUCACCCAAGUGGCCAUGGGCCGGCUCGAUGGGGCUUGCGAGGCCUCCGCUGGCUGGAGCUGGGCCGACUUCGGCUAGGGCGCUGCUGGUCCGGGAUGCCAAGCUGGCCCAGGAGCAGGGCAAGCCCCACGCAAUAGAGGUCUGGAGAGAUGCUCGUUGACAGAGCGGUUCCUGCUCGUUGCAGAGGAAACAUGCGCAGUCAACGGCGACUCCAUGCGAGGGAGGUCCGACAGGGCACGACCAGCGAAUAUGGCGGGGAUGGGUCGGGGGCGUACAAAGCCGGUCGGGGGCGAGGUGAGG
rnacentral:lncRNA from 1 species